UCUCCUGGGGUGGACACUGCUUCCCUCCUUACGGAUGAGGGAACUAAAGCCGGGAGGCUGAGGUCCCUACCAAGUGCGGCC
rnacentral:miRNA from 1 species